GACGAACGCUGGCGGCGUGCUUAACACAUGCAAGUCGAACGGAAAGGCCCUGCUUGCAGGGUACUCGAGUGGCGAACGGGUGAGUAACACGUGGGUGAUCUGCCCUGCACUUCGGGAUAAGCCUGGGCAACUGGGUCUAAUACCGGAUAGGAGCCAUUUUUAGUGUGAUGGUUGGAAAGUUUUUUCGGUGUAGGAUGAGCUCGCGGCCUAUCAGCUUGUUGGUGGGGUAAUGGCCUACCAAGGCGGCGACGGGUAGCCGGCCUGAGAGGGUGGACGGCCACAUGGGGACUGAGAGACGGCCCAGACUCCUACGGGAGGCAGCAGUGGGGAAUAUUGCACAAUGGGCGCAAGCCUGAUGCAGCGACGCCGCGUGGGGGAUGACGGCCUUCGGGUUGUAAACUCCUUUCGCUAGGGACGAAGCUUUUUGUGACGGUACCUAGAUAAGAAGCACCGGCUAACUACGU
rnacentral:rRNA from 1 species